UGGGGGAUAUUGCACAAUGGGGGAAACCCUGAUGCAGCGACGCCGCGUGGAGGAAGAAGGUUUUCGGAUUGUAAACUCCUGUUGUUGAGGAAGAUAAUGACGGUACUCAACAAGGAAGUGACGGCUAACUACGUGCCAGCAGCCGCGGUAAAACGUAGGUCACAAGCGUUGUCCGGAAUUACUGGGUGUAAAGGGAGCGCAGGCGGGAAGACAAGUUGGAAGUGAAAUCCAUGGGCUCAACCCAUGAACUGCUUUCAAAACUGUUUUUCUUGAGUAGUGCAGAGGUAGGCGGAAUUCCCGGUGUAGCGGUGGAAUGCGUAGAUAUCGGGAGGAACACCAGUGGCGAAGGCGGCCUACUGGGCACCAACUGACGCUGAGGCUCGAAAGUGUGGGUAGCAAACAGGAUUAGAUACCCUGGUAGUCCACACCGUAAACGAUGAUUACUAGGUGUUGGAGGAUUGACCCCUUCAGUGCCGCAGUUAACACAAUAAGUAAUCCACCUGGGGAGUACGACCGCAAGGUUGAAACUCAAAGGAAUUGACGGGGGCCCGCACAAGCAGUGGAGUAUGUGGUUUAAUUCGACGCAACGCGAAGAACCUUACCAAGUCUUGACAUCCCUUGACGAUGCUGGAAACAGUAUUUCUCUUCGGAGCAAGGAGACAGGUGGUGCAUGGUUGUCGUCAGCUCGUGUCGUGAGAUGUUGGGUUAAGUCCCGCAACGAGCGCAACCCUUAUGGUCAGUUACUACGCAAGAGGACUCUGGCCAGACUGCCGUUGACAAAACGGAGGAAGGUGGGGAUGACGUCAAAUCAUCAUGCCCUUUAUGACUUGGGCUACACACGUACUACAAUGGCGUUAAACAAAGAGAAGCAAGACCGCGAGGUGGAGCAAAACUCAGAAACAACGUCCCAGUUCGGACUGCAGGCUGCAACUCGCCUGCACGAAGUCGGAAUUGCUAGUAAUCGCAGAUCAGCAUGCUGCGGUGAAUACGUUCCC
rnacentral:rRNA from 1 species